GGGUGGUGGCUCAAUGGUAGAGUGCCUGACUAAUAUGUGUAGGACACUGGGUUCAAUCCUCAGCACCCC
rnacentral:tRNA from 1 species